rnacentral:misc_RNA from 1 species
CUGAGUUGCAAAACUCCAAACCAUUGUGUUCCUGAACUACCUGUUGCCUCGGCAGGCUGCCCCAGGGCGGGGCGCCUACACGGCCUGCCGAAAGCACCAUAAAAAACUCUUUCUGAAACACGUCUUCUGAAGCAUUAAGAAAUAAUCA